UCGGGAAUAUUGGGCAAUGGAGGGAACUCUGACCCAGCAAUACCGCGUGAAGGAAGAAGGUUUUCGGAUUGUAAACUUCUGUUAUAAAGGACGAAACAAAUGACGGUACUUUAUAAGUAAGCCCCGGCAAACUAUGUGCCAGCAGCCGCGGUGAUACAUAGGGGGCAAGCGUUGUCCGGAAUGACUGGGUGUAAAGGGUGUGUAGGUGGUUGAUUAAGUUAGAAGUGAAAUCCCGGGGCUUAACUCCGGAACUGCUUUUAAAACUGGUUGACUUGAGUGUGGGAGAGGUUAGUGGAACUCCUAGUGUAGCGGUGGAAUGCGUAGAUAUUAGGAAGAACAUCAGAGGCGAAGGCGACUAACUGGAACAUUACUGACACUGAAACACGAAAGGGUGGGGAGCAAACAGG
rnacentral:rRNA from 1 species